UGGGGAAUAUUGCGCAAUGGGGGCAACCCUGACGCAGCAACGCCGCGUGAUUGAAGAAGGUCUUCGGAUUGUAAAAAUCUUUAAUCAGGGACGAAGAAAAUGACGGUACCUGAAGAAUAAGCUCCGGCUAACUACGUGCCAGCAGCCGCGGUAAUACGUAGGGAGCAAGCGUUAUCCGGAUUUACUGGGUGUAAAGGGCGUGUAGGCGGGCCUGUAAGUUGGGAGUGAAAUCCGGGGGCUUAACCCCCGAACUGCUUUCAAAACUGCGGGUCUUGAGUGAUGGAGAGGCAGGCGGAAUUCCCAGUGUAGCGGUGAAAUGCGUAGAUAUUGGGAGGAACACCAGUGGCGAAGGCGGCCUGCUGGACAUUAACUGACGCUGAGGCGCGAAAGCGUGGGGAGCAAACA
rnacentral:rRNA from 1 species